rnacentral:rRNA from 1 species
AUGACGUCGCGAGAAGUCCACUGAACCUUAUCAUUUAGAGGAAGGAGAAGUCGUAACAAGGUUUCCGUAGGUGAACCUGCGGAAGGAUCAUUGUCGAAUCCUGCCCAGCAGAAUGACCAGAGAA